CUCAGAGUUUUUUAGACUUCGUGCGAGAAAAAGAUUUUGUCAAAAAAUAAUAACAUAUUAAAUUCAUAAAAUUUCUACAAAUUUUGCCCGACAUUUACUUUCAUUUUUUUAAAGUUAAAAUCGAAAACUUGCUAUUAUAUUACAACUGAAACAAAAUUAAUCAAUGUUAGAACUUAUUCUUUGAAAUGUAUUAAUAAAACAGACGGAAAAUACCUGAUUCUUUGCCUGGCAUAAUCUGCUUCUUUUAUCGGACAGCGAAAAACAGCAAAACAUUGCCUCGCACGCCGCGAAAAACAAUGAAAUUUGAAGUAAGACUAAAUCUAUGAACAAGUUUAGUAAAGAUUUACAUAGUCAAAACAGAAAUAUUGAAAAAAAUGAGGGGAUUACCAUAAAAACACG